rnacentral:rRNA from 1 species
AACGAACGCUGGCGGCAUGCCUAACACAUGCAAGUCGAACGAGACCUUCGGGUCUAGUGGCGCACGGGUGCGUAACGCGUGGGAAUCUGCCCUGGGGUGCGGAAUAACUCGGAGAAAUCCGUGCUAAUACCGCAUAAUGUCUUCGGACCAAAGAUUUAUCGCCCUGGGAUGAGCCCGCGUAGGAUUAGCUAGUUGGUGGGUAAAGGCCUACCAAGGCGACGAUCCUUAGCUGGUCUGAGAGGAUGAUCAGCCACACUGGGACUGAGACACGGCCCAGACUCCUACGGGAGGCAGCAGUGGGGAAUAUUGGACAAUGGGCGAAAGCCUGAUCCAGCAAUGCCGCGUGAGUGAUGAAGGCCCUAGGGUUGUAAAGCUCUUUUACCCGGGAUGAUAAUGACAGUACCGGGAGAAUAAGCUCCGGCUAACUCCGUGCCAGCAGCCGCGGUAAU